UCCGGGCACAGUGGUGUAUGCCUGUAUUCCCAGCAGCUUGGGAAGCUGAGGCAGGAGGAUCACAAGUUCAAAGGCAGCCUUAGCAACUUAGUGAGAUCCUGUCUCAA
rnacentral:sRNA from 1 species